ACGAACGCUGGCGGCGCGCCUAACACAUGCAAGUCGAACGGAGCUGAGAGAAGCUUGCUUUUCUUAGCUUAGUGGCGAACGGGUGAGUAACGCGUGAGUAACCUGCCCUGGAGUGGGGGACAACAGUUGGAAACGACUGCUAAUACCGCAUAAGCCCACGAUCCGGCAUCGGAUUGAGGGAAAAGGAUUUAUUCGCUUCAGGAUGGACUCGCGUCCAAUUAGCUAGUUGGUGAGGUAACGGCCCACCAAGGCGACGAUUGGUAGCCGGACUGAGAGGUUGAACGGCCACAUUGGGACUGAGACACGGCCCAGACUCCUACGAGAGGCAGCAGUGGGGGAUAUUGCACAAUGAGGGAAACCCUGAUGCAGCGACGCCGCGUGGAGGAAGAAGGUUUUCGGAUUGUAAACUCCUGUCGUAAGAGACGAUAAUGACGGUACCGAAGAAGAAAGCACCGGCUAACUACG
rnacentral:rRNA from 1 species